AGCGAACGCUGGCGGCAGGCUUAACACAUGCAAGUCGAACGAACCCUUCGGGGUUAGUGGCGGACGGGUGAGUAACACGUGGGAACGUGCCCUUAGGUUCGGAACAACACAGGGAAACUUGUGCUAAUACCGGAUAAGCCCUUACGGGGAAAGAUUUAUCGCCUUUGGAGCGGCCCGCGUCUGAUUAGCUUGUUGGUGAGGUAAAGGCUCACCAAGGCUACGAUCAGUAGCUGGUCUGAGAGGAUGAUCAGCCACACUGGGACUGAGACACGGCCCAGACUCCUACGGGAGGCAGCAGUGGGGAAUAUUGGACAAUGGGCGCAAGCCUGAUCCAGCCAUGCCGCGUGAGUGAUGAA
rnacentral:rRNA from 1 species